UACAGAGGGGGCAAGCGUUGUUCGGAAUUAUUGGGCGUAAAGGGCGCGUAGGCGGCUUUGCAAGUGACGGGUGAAAUCCCUCGGCUUAACCGAGGAACUGCCUGUCAGACUGUGAGGCUUGAGACCGGGAGAGGUGAGUGGAAUUCCCAGUGUAGCGGUGAAAUGCGUAGAUAUUGGGAGGAACACCAGUGGCGAAGGCGGCUCACUGGACCGGAACUGACGCUGAGGCGCGAAAGCGUGGGGAGCAAACAGG
rnacentral:rRNA from 1 species